rnacentral:rRNA from 1 species
UACAGAGGGUGCAAGCGUUUGUUCGGAAUUAUUGGGCGUAAAGCGCGUGUAGGCGGCUUUGCAAGUCGGGUGUGAAAGCCCUCAGCUCAACUGAGGAAGUGCGCCCGAAACUGCAGAGCUUGAGUACCGGAGAGGAUGGCGGAAUUCCCCAAGUAGAGGUGAAAUUCGUAGAUAUGGGGGAGGAACACCGGUGGCGAAGGCGGCCAUCUGGACGGAUACUGACGCUGAGACGCGAAAAGCGUGGGUAGCAAACAGG